UAUAGGGCGAAUUGGGCCCGACGUYSCRUGCUCCCGGMMGCCAUGGCGGCCGCGGSWRUUCGAUUAGAGUUUGAUCAUGGCUCAGAUUGAACGCUGGCGGAAUGCUUUACACMUGGMUGUCGACCGGUGGCCCGRAUUCCCCACUGCUGCCUCCCGUAGGAGUCUGGACCGKGUCUCAKUUCCAGUGUGGCUGAUCAUCCUCUCARACCAGCUACUGAUCGUCGCCUUGGKGAGCCUUUACCUCACCAACUAGCUAAUCAGACAUAGGCCAAUCCAAUAACGCGAGGUCCGAAGAUCCCCCGCUUUCCCCCUUAGGGCGKAUGCGGUAUUAGCACCGAUUUCUCGGCGUUAUCCCCCAUUACUGGGUAUGUUCCUAUGUAUUACUCACCCGUUCGCCACUCGCCACCAGGAGCAAGCUCCCGUGCUGCCGUUCGACUUGCAUGUGUAAAGCAUUCCGCCAGCGUUCAAUCUGAGCCAUGAUCAAACUCUAAUCGAAUUCCCGCGGMCGCCAUGGCGGCCGGGAGCAUGCGACGUCGGGCCCAAUUCRCCMUAUAGUGAGUCGUAUUACAAUUCACUGCCCGUCGUUUUACACAUGCAAGUCRAACGACAGCACGRGUGCUUGCUCUWGGUGGYGAGUGGCGAA
rnacentral:rRNA from 1 species